GACGGGGCCCGCACAAGCGGUGGAGCAUGUGGUUUAAUUCGAUGCAACGCGAAGAACCUUACCUGGGCUUGACAUCCCGAGAAUCCCCUGGAAACAGGGAGUGCCUUUCGGGGAACUCGGAGACAGGUGCUGCAUGGCUGUCGUCAGCUCGUGUCGUGAGAUGUUGGGUUAAGUCCCGCAACGAGCGCAACCCUUGUCUUUAAUUGCCAGCAUUCAGUUGGGCACUUUAAAGAGACUGCCGGUGUUAAGCCGGAGGAAGGUGGGAUGACGUCAAGUCCUCAUGGCCUUUAUGCCCAGGGCUACACACGUGCUACAAUGGGUGGUACAAAGAGAUGCCAACUCGCGAGAGCGCGCCAAUCUCAGAAAGCCGUCCUCAGUUCGGAUUGGAGUCUGCAACUCGACUCCAUGAAGUUGGAAUCGCUAGUAAUCGCGGAUCAGCACGCCGCGGUGAAUACGUUCCCGGGCCUU
rnacentral:rRNA from 1 species